GGGUGCGUAACACGUGAGCAACCUACCCUGGAGUGGGGGAUAGCCGGCCCAACGGCCGGGUAAUACCGCAUACGCCCGUUUGGCUUCCUGGCCGAGCGGGGAAAGCUUUAGUGCUCCAGGCGGGGCUCGCGGCCUAUCAGCUAGUUGGCGAGGUAACGGCUCACCAAGGCGAUGACGGGUAGCUGGUCUGAGAGGAUGGCCAGCCACAUUGGGACUGAGAGACGGCCCAGACUCCUACGGGAGGCAGCAGUGGGGAAUCUUGCGCAAUGGGCGAAAGCCUGACGCAGCGACGCCGCGUGGGGGAGGAAGGCCUUCGGGUUGUAAACCCCUGUUGCCCGGGACGAAUCGCCCUUUUCGAGGGGCUUGACGGUACCGGGUGAGGAAGCACCGGCUAACUCUGUGCCAGCAGCCGCGGUAAUACGUAGGGUGCAAGCGUUGUUCGGAAUUACUGGGCGUAAAGGGCGAGUAGGCGGAUCGAUAAGCCAGGGGUGAAAUCCCGGAGCUCAACUCCGGAACUGCUUCUGGAACUGUCGGUCUUGAGGAAGUCAGAGGUUAGCGGAAUUCCUGGUGUAGCGGUGAAAUGCGUAGAUAUCAGGAGGAACACCGGAGGCGUAAGCGGCUAACUGGGACUUAUCUGACGCUGAGGCGCGAAAGCAUGGGGAGCAAACAGGAUUAGAUACCCUGGUAGUCCAUGCUGUAAACGAUGAAUACUAGAUGUGUGAAGUUAAAAGAUCACGUGUCGCAGCAAACGCAGUAAGUAUUCCGCCUGGGAAGUACGGUCGCAAGACUAAAACUCAAAGGAAUUGACGGGGGCCCGCACAAGCGGUGGAACAUGUGGUUUAAUUCGACGCAACGCGAAGAACCUUACCUGGGUUUGACAUCCCGUGCUAUAGCAAGAGAUUGCUAGUUCCCGCAAGGGACGCGGAGACAGGUGCUGCAUGGCUGUCGUCAGCUCGUGUUGUGAGAUGUUGGGUUAAGUCCCGCAACGAGCGCAACCCUUAUUCCUAGUUGCCAUCAGGAAAGCUGGGCACUCUAGGGAGACUGCCGGUGAUAAGCCGGAGGAAGGUGGGGAUGACGUCAAGUCCUCAUGGCCUUUAUAUCCAGGGCUACACACGUGUUACAAUGGGAGUGACAAAGAGAAGCAAGACGGCGACGUGGAGCGAAUCUCAAAAAAGCUCUCUCAGUUCGGAUUGUAGUCUGCAACUCGACUACAUGAAGUUGGAAUCGCUAGUAAUCGCGGAUCAGCACGCCGCGGUGAAU
rnacentral:rRNA from 1 species